GAUGAACGCUGGCGGCGUGCUUAACACAUGCAAGUCGAACGAAGCACUUUAUUUGAUUUCCUUCGGGACUGAUUAUUUUGUGACUGAGUGGCGGACGGGUGAGUAACGCGUGGGUAACCUGCCUUGUACAGGGGGAUAACAGUUGGAAACGGCUGCUAAUACCGCAUAAGCGCACGGCAUCGCAUGAUGCAGUGUGAAAAACUCCGGUGGUAUAAGAUGGACCCGCGUUGGAUUAGCUAGUUGGUGAGGUAACGGCCCAUCAAGGCGACGAUCCAUAGCCGACCUGAGAGGGUGACCGGCCACAUUGGGACUGAGACACGGCCCAAACUCCUACGGGAGGCAGCAGUGGGGAAUAUUGCACAAUGGGCGAAAGCCUGAUGCAGCGACGCCGCGUGAGCGAAGAAGUAUUUCGGUAUGUAAAGCUCUAUCAGCAGGGAAGAUAAUGACGGUACCUGACUAAGAAGCACCGGCUAAAUACGUG
rnacentral:rRNA from 1 species